GAAUGCGUUCGAAUGUCAGUGGAAAAAGUUGAACAAUUAAAAGAUGUCGCGGCAGCUGGCGGGGCACGCGCCCACCUUUCCCGCCAUUAUGCGACCGCCUUUGUUCAUACGCAAGAUUGAUUUCUGUCUUUGAGAAUUUAUAACAUCUGUGUCCUUUACAAUACAUGCUCCUGUUGGAUAGCCAAGCUUAAUGCGACGUUGGGGGGGCGAAAUAAUCGAUUUGAAAUACUACUAGUGAUUUGGUAGAAAAUUUUAAGUUAAUUGACCAUGAAUCAAAACAUCUAUAGUUUGGUGAUUAAAAUGGCUGGCAUAAUACUUGAAGAUGGCUUGUCGACUUUUUAAUGCUAACAACUAUAUAUUGGUUUCUGAGGCAAAAAUCUCUAUCUACGACAAAACAGAGAUAACAAUAUGUUUUAAACAGGGUUCCUGGCCUCGGAAACCUACGGUAAAUGUUGUAAGAUUUAUCUCAGACUGUGGCGACUGCCUGCUAGU